rnacentral:lncRNA from 1 species
CCAGCUCGAUCCUUUUCUGAAGACAAUAUGUAUGUAACUUUACAAUAUUUACAUCAGAUUAAACCUAAAACCAGUGUUGCCAAGGCUGUUGCCUACUAGUGUUGCCAAUGACAAGCCAUGUAGCUUGCUUAAUAAUCAACUGUCCUACUAGAACUAGGUCUUGAUGCAUUAGGAAUUUUUUUGUCAUGUCCUGAGACAUGCACAAACUUGCAGCUUUCCUAGGUCAUGCCCAUUGCAAAAGUGUGGAUUGUCAAUGCCUGCGGCAGAAGUCACACAUAGGAGCAGCCUAUGUAGCACGGACACGGCAGCACACUGGCGUGUUGGUGUCCGACACUGAUACGCCGUUGAUACAUUGCUGAUACGCAUCGGCAUAUUAAACUGUAAAAAUAAACAUCUUUAAUCACCGAUACUCCAUGGACAAGGCGUCGAUGCAUGUCCAAGCGGCUGAGAGAAGGGAGGUGUGGCAGCCUGAGCUUGACGGUGGGCAGCGGCGACCUGACCUGGAUAGCCCUGGCAGCAGGCCAGAUCCAGCAUGGCUGGGGUCUGGGGCGGCAGGAGGGGCGUAGUCUGACGUGACAAAUGGGCGGCCGACGGCAGGAGGUGGCCGGCACGCUGCUGGAGAUAGCCUACACACGUCAGAGGUGGAGGAGAUGACCGAGCUGAGCCCCGUCCGUUAGGUGGCUGGCAUCUGGCGGCCAUGGAAAGGGUGGAGUGGAGAAGAUGAGAAAUCGGCGGUGGGGAGCAGAAGAUCAGUUUGUUUGUGUGCUGGAGUAGUGGGCUGCAGUAAGGAGAGGGAGGGAUUGGGCUGGGCCAUUCCAUUCCCUUCUCACCUUUUCUUUUCCUCCCAUUUUCUUUUCAAUUUGCUGUAUAUUUGCUACUGCAACAAUUUGCUAUGUCAUGAUUAUGUCUGUUGCCGUAUCACCGUGUCGCCAUUUUUGAGAAAACAGCGAAUCCCCGCGCGUGUCGGAACGUAGGGUGCAGCAACAGACCAGGCAUAUGCGCUACCUAAUCCCAUAAAGUUGUCGCUUGUAGUACCUCCAGCAAUGAGGAUGCCGCGACAUUGGUGCCAGGCCCUCAUCACACGUUUGUGGCAUCUGAGUUUUAUGAAAUGCCAGAUUAAAGAGCUAACAGUAGAGGUUGGCGGCUAUUUCAAUAAGUUUUUUUUAUUUCUUUGGAGAAUAAGCACUUGAUAGAUCAUGUCAUCCCACCUGGGCAAAACACCCUACAUAACACUCAGAACCUAGCAAAACCACAUCAAUGACAAUUUUAGGGUUUAUGUGGUCCAGAGUUGCAAGUGUUAGGGGGUAUGAUAUCUGAUUUUAUAGUUAGGGGCUAAUACUUCUGAAAAAACUAUUUUAAAAUAAAUAAAGUGCUAGACCUCAGAAUCACUGUUGGAGCAAACACAACUUACAUCUUGAAAACAACACAAAUACAAAAUUAUGUAUUUAAGACAGCAAUAGUGACUGUUGACCUGACUAUCUAUGCAUUGGAGUUCAUAUUCAGUAUUAAGGCAACAGUAAGGACAAGUCCAUAGUAAAUGUAACUUCAAUCUCAUUUAUACUUAAUAAGUUUUUCAACCUUGUAAUGUAACUCUCAAGUGCAGAGAACAAAGAUGUUAGACGCAGUAAAGAUUAAAGAAGAAGUCCCACCAGGAAAAACAAGUGUACCUGAGACUUUUCCAACCAUCGAUUCAGCACCAUCCAUAGGAGUAUCAACUAGUUCAUUGUAGUAGUCUAAAUCAUCAGUAGCAUCCACAUUCUAAAAUGUCAAUAACAGUUGGAUAAGGAAAUAUUUUUGCUACCAAUUAUCAUAUGAAAUAUCAAUACAUUAAUUAAAAGGAGCUUCGUCUGCACCUUUGGCUAGAACUUUGCAACUCUUUCCUCUUUAGCUUGUGCACCAAACAUUUCCUCAAAUUCAUCUACAUCAUCAAUAGUCUUGCCACAUGAACUGGCAUGUGACACUUGGAUGUGUGAAACCACCAAGCUUUCUUGAUGUGUAGCUAAUUUAGACAAAUCAGCAUUUUGCUUGUCACCUUGAGAAAUCCUAUCUGCAGCAGCACCACCACCCGGAGGUCCCAAUGGAACUGUCAGCACAUCAUCCGAUGGUGUCUCAAGAAUACCUUGAGAAUCAGCUUUAUCAUCAGGUGUCUCACUACCAGGGCAUGUCAAGGAUGCUCUUUCUUGGCUGGUGAGUUCUUUAGAAGAACUGACUUGAUUUAAGGCUCCUUGUUUCCCAAUUCCAUUUUCCAAAGUAGGAUUAGACGCUGCAGAUCUGGAUGACAAAGCAGAUUUUCGGGGUUUGGCCCGUUGCUUGGGACGGAACUUUGCAGCGGUCUGGACGUCUUAUGAGGCAUCAAAGAUGUUGUCGAAGUUGGCCUCGUCAUCAAUCAUCUGUGCAACCGUUGUGUUCUACAGCUAUCUUGAAAUGUAAAUGUCACUGGAAGGAACAUUACAAAUUUAGGAAAGCAAAGGUGGCAAACAUAGAAACAGACAAGAAAAAAAGGAAAUAAAACCCCUUGGGGCCUGUGGAGUGUAGAGUUAGGAUUCGGAUAUUUCACAAGAACAUCGGGAAUUUAGUUAAAUUUGAAUUAAAUACAAAACUUGCAAAUGAUAUAGCCCAAUGCAAAGAUAGUUGAUGGCACUUAUAUUUACACGGGUCGGAAGCAGUAGAGCAGGCAAACACAGUGCAUCAUCACGUGAGAGUAAUGGCAGAGCUCUAGACGGAGGACAACCGGCAGCGACAAAUAACUAACUAAACCGCAGCAAAAGCACGCGGCGCCAACAAUGGGUAUAACAUUACUAUGUCAAAACAGACAAAAAUUCCAAGAAAGUUGGGGGCAAUGCCCAAUCGGUUUAUGUUGUACCCUCAGCAAAAGCCAUAUAAUAGCAUUAUUCUCUAAGAUUUCCAUACCCAACUCACAAUUUUCCCAGGAUGCCUACAUCAGCAAUACUACUGUCUAGACUAAGCUUAAACGUGGUUGCUUUUGCACAUUACAAAUGCUAUAUCUAAGAUUGCCGAACCGUUUCAGCGUCCAUCACCUUCUGCACGGGUAAAGAAAAGGUCCCCCCUGCUUGGGUUUAAGUUGAAUCCCCAAUUCCACUGAGAUCGAUCAAUAGUACAGCGCCCUGAAUAAUUAUCUAAUAAAACAAUGGGCGGAUGGAUUGCAACACCAGAGCACCAUGUAGAAAUGAAAUUCGCAACUAGGUCAAUAGAGACAAAGGAAUAUUCGAAUUUGACAGAAAAAAAAAAGCUGUGGCAACGGGAGUUCAUCCAAGCAAACCUGGGAAUACUUACCGAUGAGAGAAGAAACCAAUCGCGUGCGGAGGGGUAUUCAACCCACUCUACCACACCGAGAGCAGAAGGGCGAUGGGGCGACGGUGGCAAGGGGACGCCGGGCCGGAGGCGAGGGCACGAGGCGGCGCCGCGGCGGGAUUCUGCCUUGGGUUUACUCUAUAUAGGAGUCCAGUCGUCUGUUGCCGCAACCGUUGCUUCGGGAGGUGCCUGUCUCUUCUUGGCAUAGAAGCGGCGGAGGCUCUGUUUGGAGAUGCAGGUGGAAAGGGAAGGGAUGUGGGCGGCGGGCUCAUGGGCUGGAGGCCCACAAUGCUGCUACUUGGUAAACCCUUGCUUCGGGAGGUGCCUGUCUCUUCUUGGCAUAGAAGCGGCGGCGGCUCUGUUUGGAGACGCAGGUGGAAAGGGAAGGGAUGUGUGCGGCGGGCUCAUGGGCUGGAGGCCCACAAUGCUGCUACUUGGUAAACCCUUGCUUCGGGAGGUGCCUGUCUCUUUUUGGCAUAGAAGCGGCGGCGGCUCUGUUUGGAGACGCAGGUGGAAAGGGAAGGGAUGUGGGCGGCGGGCUCAUGGGCUGUCAUGGGCUGGAGGCCCACAAUGCUGCUACUUGGUACCGCGGCUCUAUUUGGAGACGCAGGUGGAAAGGGAAGGGAUGUGGGCGGCGGGCUCAUGGGCUGUCAUGGGCUGGGCGCGGCUCAUGAGCAUUGUCGGCCUCCAGCUGUCAGCAUUGUGGGCCUCCAGCCCAUGACAGCCCAUGAGCCCGCCGCACACAUCCCUUCCCUUUCCACCUGCGUCUCCAAACAGAGCCGCCGCCGCUUCUAUGCCAAGAAGAGACAGGCACCUCCCGAAGCAACGGUUGCGGCGACAGACGGCUGGACUCCUAUAUGGAGUAAACCCAAGGCAGAAUCCCGCCGCCUCGUGCCCUCGCCUCCGGCCCGGCGUCCCCUUGCCACCGCCGCCCCAUCGCCCUUCUGCUCUCGGUGUGGUAGAGUGGGUUGAAUACCCCUCCGCACGUGAUUGGUUUCUUCUCUCGUCGGUAAGUAUUCCCAGCUUUGCUUGGAUGAACUCCCGUUGCCACAGCUUUUUUUUCUGUCAAAUUCGAAUAUUCCUUUGUCUCUAUUGAGCUAGUUGCGAAUUUCAUUUCUACAUGGUGCCCUGGUGUUGCAAUCCAUCCGCCCAUUGUUUUAUUAGAUAAUUAUUCAGGGCGCUGUACUAUUGAUCGAUCUCAGUGGAAUUGGGGAUUCAACUUAAACCCAAGCAGGGGGGACCUUUUCUUUACCCCUGCAGAAGGUGAUGGACGCUGAAACGGUUUGGCAAUCUUAGAUAUAGCAUUUGUAAUGUGCAAAAGCAACCACGUUUAAGCUUAGUCUAGACAGUAGUAUUGCUGAUGUAGGCAUCCUGGGAAAAUUGUGAGUUGGGUAUGGAAAUCUUAGAGAAUAAUGCUAUUAUAUGGCUUUUGCUGAGGGUACAAGGUAAACUGAUUGGGCAUUGCCCCCAACUUUCUUGGAAAUUUUGUCUGUUUUGACAUAGUAGCAUUAUACCCAUUGUUGUCGCCGCGUGCUUUUGCUGCGGUUUAGUUAGUUAUUUGUCGCUGCCGGUUGUCCUCCGUCUAGAGCUCUGCCAUUACUCUCACGUGAUGAUGCACUGUGUUUGCCUGCUCUACUGCUUCCGACCCGUGUAAAUGUAAGUGCCAUCAACUAUCUUUCCAUUGGGCUAUAUCAUUGGGCUAUAUCAUUUGCAAAGUUCCGUCCCAAGCAACGGGCCAAACCCCGAAAAUCUGCUUUGUCAUCCAGAUCUGCAGCGUCUAAUCCUACUGUGGAAAAUGGAAUUGGGAAACAAGGAGCCUUAAAUCAAGUCAGUUCUUCUAAAGAACUCACCAGCCAAGAAGGAGCAUCCUUGACACCUGAUGAUAAAGCUGAUUCUCAAGGUAUUCUUGAGACACCAUCGGAUGAUGUGCUGACAGUUCCAUUGGGACCUCCGGGUGGUGGUGCUGCUGCAGAUAGGAUUUCUCAAGGUGACAAGCAAAAUGCUGAUUUGUCUAAAUUAGCUACACAUCAAGAAAGCUUGGUGGUUUCACACAUCCAAGUGUCACAUGCCAGUUCAUGUGGCAAGACUAUUGAUGAUGUAGAUGAAUUUGAGGAAAUGUUUGGUGCACAAGCUAAAGAGGAAAGAGUUGCAAAGUUCUAGCCAAAGGUGCAGACGAAGCUCCUUUUAAUUAAUGUAUUGAUAUUUCAUAUGAUAAUUGGUAGCAAAAAUAUUUCCUUAUCCAACCGUUAUUGACAUUUUAGAAUGUGGAUGCUACUGAUGAUUUAGACUACUACAAUGAACUAGUUGAUACUCCUAUGGAUGGUGCUGAAUCGAUGGUUGGAAAAGUCUCAGGUACACUUGUUUUUCCUGGUGGGACUUCUUCUUUAAUCUUUACUGCGUCUGACAUCUUUGUUCUCUGCACUUGAGAGUUACAUUACAAGGUUGAAAAACUUAUUAAGUAUAAAUGAGAUUGAAGUUACAUUUACUAUGGACUUGUCCUUACUGUUGCCUUAAUACUGAAUAUGAACUCCAAUGCAUAGAUAGUUAGGUCAACAAUCACUAUUUCUGUCUUAGAUACAUAAUUUUGUAUUUGUGUUGUUUUCAAGAUGUAAGUUGUGUUUGCUCCAACAGUGAUUCUGAGGUCUAGCACUUUAUUUAUUUUAAAAUAGUUUUUUCAGAAGUAUUAGCCCCUAACUAUAAAAUCAGAUAUCAUACCCCCUAACACUUGCAACUCUGGACCACAUAAACCCUAAAAUUGUCAUUGAUGUGGUUUUGCUAGGUUCUGAGUGUUAUGUAGGGUGUUUUGCCCAGGUGGGAUGACAUGAUCUAUCAAGUGCUUAUUCUCCAAAGAAAUAAAAAAAACUUAUUGAAAUAGCCGCCAACCUCUACUGUUAGCUCUUUAAUCUGGCAUUUCAUAAAACUCAGAUGCCACAAACGUGUGAUGAGGGCCUGGCACCAAUGUCGCGGCAUCCUCAUUGCUGGAGGUACUACAAGCGACAACUUUAUGGGAUUAGGUAGCGCAUAUGCCUGGUCUGUUGCUGCACCCUACGUUACACCAAUUCCGACACGCGCGGGGAUUCGCUGUUUUCCCAAAAAUGGCGACACGAUGAUACGGCAACAGACAUAAUCAUGACACAGCAAAUUGUUGCAGUAGCAAAUAUACAGCAAAUUGAAAAGAAAAUGGGAGGAAAAGAAAAUGGGAGCAAAUGCAUUUGGUUCAGCUGGCGCGUUCGAAACGCGAACGCUCGCUGCCGACGCUCAACCAAACGGGGCCUUCCUAGGUCAUGCCCAUUGCAAAAGUGUGGAUUGUC